GCGCCAAUAUGCCCUUCAUCAGG
rnacentral:miRNA from 1 species